CUAGACCAGCAUUUCCCAACCUGGUGUACGUGUACCCCUAGGGUUAUACUUCAGGACAUUAAGAGGCUGAAAGGAUUGGACGUGUUUUUGGUUCACAGG